GUGGGCACCCUUUCCCAGCCGCCUCUGCACCCGGCGGUGACGACGGCAAGCCGGAGGGCAACGGGCCGUGCGAGGAGGAAAAGAGGAGGAACCCGGAGACUCUAUGGCCCGUUCCCGCCCCCUCUUCCCCACCCCAGUCCCCCGGUCCCAGGCUGCCGCCGCUGCCCCGCCUCCUCCCUUUCCUCCGGGCUUCCCCCACGCUGUCCCCACCCCUCAGCUUUCCCAGGCCUGAGCCCCUGCGCCCAGCCAGGCCCUGGUGGCGCUCGCGCUGCCUGCCGGGAUACUCCGCCCGCCCAGCCAGUCCUCCCAGCUUGCGCCGCGGCCGUGAUAUCCGUGUUUCUCCCAAGAUGGUGGCGCUGGGUUCGGGGUGACUAUAGGAGACGACAGGGCCCCUUGCCCGCCCCGACCUCCGACCUCUCCCCUCCCCCGACACACAGCGCUCUCCUCUCCUCUCCACCCGCCCGUCCCCUCCGCCGCCGCCGCUGCCGCUGCCGCCUCCUCUACUUCCACCUCCCCCCAAGGCCGGCUCCGCCGUGCGCCCCGCGCCCCGCGCCCCGGCCCAGAGCCCCCUCGGGCGACGACGGCGCUUCCUUCGGCUCCAGCUCCGGGCCCCGCGCGGAGCCGCCCGUCCGCCGCUGCCCAGCACCGGCCGAGCGGGCCCCUGAGCCCCCCGGGGUGGGGGGAGCGGCCGCGGCUGCGGCUGGAGAAGAGCGAGGGAUCCCCGGCGGCCCCGCGGGCUCCUUGCCUUCCCCCGGGCCCCGGAGAAGGAAGCGCGGAUCCCGCAUGAGCCCCGGCGGUGGCGGCAGCGAAGGGGAAAGAGGAGGCGGCGGCGGGAGGAGGCGGAGGAGGAGCGGGGCGGCGGCGGCGCCUGCUGCUGCUCCCACCACCGCUGCUGCUGCUUCUGCUGCUGCUGCUGCUGCGAGGGCCGCGGCCCAGCCCGGGGCACCACCACAGAUGCCAUAGAACAACCACAGUGUUAAAGCGUAGCUGUAGAAGUUUUCAUUAUCAGGUUUGACACAUGCAAAAAGUGAGUAUAUUUUGAUCACUUGUUAAGUUUUCUUAAUAGACAAAAAGAAUUUCUUAGGCAAAAGUAAUAGUCAUGGAUUUGAAAACAAAUCUGGCUGUAUCAAUCCUGCUUAUUAAUCGGUUAAAUUCAGCAACUAAUUUAUCCAGCACCUACUGUGUGAUAAGCAUUGUGUGAGGUUUAUGGGGUUACAAAAGCGAAGUUGUUUGCUUGUGAAGCUUAAAUUACUUUAG
rnacentral:lncRNA from 1 species